AACGAACGCUGGCGGCAGGCUUAACACAUGCAAGUCGAGCGCCCCGCAAGGGGAGCGGCAGACGGGUGAGUAACACGUGGGAACGUACCUUUUGCUACGGAAUAGCUCCGGGAAACUGGAAUUAAUACCGUAUGUGCCCUUCGGGGGAAAGAUUUAUCGGCAAAAGAUCGGCCCGCGUCUGAUUAGCUAGUUGGUGGGGUAAUGGCCUACCAAGGCGACGAUCAGUAGCUGGUCUGAGAGGAUGAUCAGCCACACUGGGACUGAGACACGGCCCAGACUCCUACGGGAGGCAGCAGUGGGGAAUAUUGGACAAUGGGCGCAAGCCUGAUCCAGCCAUGCCGCGUGAGUGGUGAAGGCCUUAGGGUUGUAAAGCUCUUUCGCUAGGGAAGAUAAUGACGGUACCUAGAGAAGAAGCCCCGGCUAACUUCGUGCCAGCAGCCGCUGUAAAAC
rnacentral:rRNA from 1 species